GCCAGCAUGGCAUAGUGGUUUGAGUGCUGGAUUGAGACCAGGGUUCGAUUCCCUGCUUGGGCA
rnacentral:tRNA from 1 species